rnacentral:rRNA from 1 species
CCUACGGGAGGCAGCAGUGGGGAAUAUUGCACAAUGGGCGCAAGCCUGAUGCAGCCAUGCCGCGUGUGUGAAGAAGGCCUUCGGGUUGUAAAGCACUUUCAGCGGGGAGGAAGGCGGUGAGGUUAAUAACCUCACCGAUUGACGUUACCCGCAGAAGAAGCAACGGCUAACUCCGUGCCAGCAGCCGCGGUAAUACGGAGGGUGCAAGCGUUAAUCGGAAUUACUGGGCGUAAAGCGCACGCAGGCGGUCUGUCAAGUCGGAUGUGAAAUCCCCGGGCUCAACCGGGGAACUGCAUUCGAAACUGGCAGGCUAGAGUCUUGUAGAGGGGGGUAGAAUUCCAGGUGUAGCGGUGAAAUGCGUAGAGAUCUGGAGGAAUACCGGUGGCGAAGGCGGCCCCCUGGACAAAGACUGACGCUCAGGUGCGAAAGCGUGGGGAGCAAACAGGAUUAGAUACCCCUGUAGUC